rnacentral:rRNA from 1 species
GAUGAACGCUGGCGGCGUGCCUAAUACGUGCAAGUCGAGCGAACAGACGAGGAGCUUGCUCCUCUGACGUUAGCGGCGGACGGGUGAGUAACACGUGGAUAACCUACCUAUAAGACUGGGAUAACUUCGGGAAACCGGAGCUAAUACCGGAUAAUAUAUUGAACCGCAUGGUGCAAUAGUGAAAGACGGUUUUGCUGUCACUUAUAGAUGGAUCCGCGCCGCAUUAGCUAGUUGGUAAGGUAACGGCUUACCAAGGCAACGAUGCGUAGCCGACCUGAGAGGGUGAUCGGCCACACUGGAACUGAGACACGGUCCAGACUCCUACGGGAGGCAGCAGUAGGGAAUCUUCCGCAAUGGGCGAAAGCUUGACGGAGCAACGCCGCGUGAGUGAUGAAGGUCUUCGGAUCGUAAAACUCUGUUAUUAGGGAAGAACAAAUGUGUAAGUAACUAUGCACGUCUUGACGGUACCUAAUCAGAAAGCCACGGCUAACUACGUG